rnacentral:tRNA from 1 species
GCUAGGUUGGCAGAAUAGUGUAUUUGAUUUAGAAUCAGGUUAAAUAGGUGAAAUUCCUUUACUUAGUA